GGGACACGGGACAAGGCAAGAUGUUGGCAUAGCUGAACGUAAUGACAAUUAGGCUCAUAAUUCAGAACCUAAUCAAUUUGCACAAAGUUUCAGCCGUGCCACAUUAGGCCAUUUCUCGGG
rnacentral:pre_miRNA from 1 species